GAAGUUUACAGAGAAGUGAUAAGUGAAAUCAGACCUCUUUUAUGAGGUUCAGCUAACAUCCAGCUUCUCAACAGAUGCCAUGCAAACAAAAGAAA